rnacentral:rRNA from 1 species
AAAUUGAAGAGUUUGAUCAUGGCUCAGAUUGAACGCUGGCGGCAGGCCUAACACAUGCAAGUCGAACGGUAACAGGAAACAGCUUGCUGUUUCGCUGACGAGUGGCGGACGGGUGAGUAAUGUCUGGGAAACUGCCUGAUGGAGGGGGGAUAACUACUGGAAACGGUAGCUAAUACCGCAUAACGUCGCAAGACCAAAGAGGGGGACCUUCGGGCCUCUUGCCAUCGGAUGUGCCCAGAUGGGAUUAGCUAGUAGGUGGGGUAACGGCUCACCUAGGCGACGAUCCCUAGCUGGUCUGAGAGGAUGACCAGCCACACUGGAACUGAGACACGGUCCAGACUCCUACGGGAGGCAGCAGUGGGGAAUAUUGCACAAUGGGCGCAAGCCUGAUGCAGCCAUGCCGCGUGUAUGAAGAAGGCCUUCGGGUUGUAAAGUACUUUCAGCGGGGAGGAAGGGAGUAAAGUUAAUACCUUUGCUCAUUGACGUUACCCGCAGAAGAAGCACCGGCUAACUCCGUGCCAGCAGCCGCGGUAAUACGGAGGGUGCAAGCGUUAAUCGGAAUUACUGGGCGUAAAGCGCACGCAGGCGGUUUGUUAAGUCAGAUGUGAAAUCCCCGGGCUCAACCUGGGAACUGCAUCUGAUACUGGCAAGCUUGAGUCUCGUAGAGGGGGGUAGAAUUCCAGGUGUAGCGGUGAAAUGCGUAGAGAUCUGGAGGAAUACCGGUGGCGAAGGCGGCCCCCUGGACGAAGACUGACGCUCAGGUGCGAAAGCGUGGGGAGCAAACAGGAUUAGAUACCCUGGUAGUCCACGCCGUAAACGAUGUCGACUUGGAGGUUGUGCCCUUGAGGCGUGGCUUCCGGAGCUAACGCGUUAAGUCGACCGCCUGGGGAGUACGGCCGCAAGGUUAAAACUCAAAUGAAUUGACGGGGGCCCGCACAAGCGGUGGAGCAUGUGGUUUAAUUCGAUGCAACGCGAAGAACCUUACCUGGUCUUGACAUCCACGGAAGUUUUCAGAGAUGAGAAUGUGCCUUCGGGAACCGUGAGACAGGUGCUGCAUGGCUGUCGUCAGCUCGUGUUGUGAAAUGUUGGGUUAAGUCCCGCAACGAGCGCAACCCUUAUCCUUUGUUGCCAGCGGUCCGGCCGGGAACUCAAAGGAGACUGCCAGUGAUAAACUGGAGGAAGGUGGGGAUGACGUCAAGUCAUCAUGGCCCUUACGACCAGGGCUACACACGUGCUACAAUGGCGCAUACAAAGAGAAGCGACCUCGCGAGAGCAAGCGGACCUCAUAAAGUGCGUCGUAGUCCGGAUUGGAGUCUGCAACUCGACUCCAUGAAGUCGGAAUCGCUAGUAAUCGUGGAUCAGAAUGCCACGGUGAAUACGUUCCCGGGCCUUGUACACACCGCCCGUCACACCAUGGGAGUGGGUUGCAAAAGAAGUAGGUAGCUUAACCUUCGGGAGGGCGCUUACCACUUUGUGAUUCAUGACUGGGGUGAAGUCGUAACAAGGUAACCGUAGGGGAACCUGCGGUUGGAUCACCUCCUUA